rnacentral:misc_RNA from 1 species
GAAAUGCGAUAAGUAAUGUGGAUUGCAGAAUUCAGUGAAUUAUAGAAUCUUUGAACGCACAUUGCGCCCGCCAGUAUUCUGGCGGGCAUGCCUGUCUGAGCGUCAUUUCAAACCUCAGCCCCCGUUCGCGGGGCGCUGGCGUUGGGGAUCGGCCGUCCUCCGCGGCGGCCGGCCCCGAAACACAGUGGCGGGCUCCUGCAGACUCCCCUGCAUAGGAGCACUACCUCGCAGAAGGGACGAGCGGGCUGUCCACGCCGUAAAGCCCCCAACUGCUCAAGGUUGACCUCAGAUCAGGUAGGAAUACCCGCUGAACUUAA